CUCCCUCUCCCCAAUCCCCUCUCGUUCCCACGCCCCAUCUCCAACCGGGAAGAACAUGGCAGCAGCGGCGGCGGCGACCACGCGCCUAGGCGCGCCUGGGCGACGGCGAGCUCGUGCCUGAAGACGGCGGCGGCGAAGGUGCGCCUGGGCGACGACGGCGAGGGCGAGCGCGCGCCUGGGCGACGGCGGCGACUGCGGCGGCGAGCGCGCGACUGGAAACAGCGGCGGCAAGCGUGUGCCUGGGCGACGGCAGCGACUACGGCGGCGACAUCGAGCGCGCGACUGCAGACGGCGCGCGCGUGGGUGAUGCGGCAACGACGGCAGCGAAGGCGCGCCUGGACGACGGCAUCAAAGGCGCGCCUGGACGUCAUCGGCGGUGAGCACGCCUGGACGCUGCACAACCCCAUCUCCAGCUGCCUCAAGUACCACGCCGGCGUCCACCCCAAGUUCCGCGGACUCAUCACCGGCCUCGCACAGAUUCUGUGGUAGGAGCAAAACAAGACAUGAUUGACCUCACCGUGCGCUCUAAAAGGAAUCAUCACAAAGAUUGGAGAAGCUGCUAGGACACUUCAUAUAAACUAAAGGUACGUAUGGCCAUGACUUAUUGGCUUAUAGUUUAUGAGGCAAUUAUGGUUCAAAGUUGGGCUUCUCUUUUUAGGCUUUUUAGAUGUAGUUUCUUAAUCUAUCUCAGGUCUCAAAAAGUUAUCCUUCAUUUAUUUUGAUGUAAUAUUUUAUAUUCUUGCAGUCUUGAAACAUUUUCUUUAGUGAGGUUGUUCACUUUUUUAUUCUUGCAGUCUUGAAAAUGAGAAAGUGAACAACUUGCAUGAAAAGGUUUUAUCUCUCUCCCUCAUCUAAGCCAACCGUGCGGCGACAGGUCGCCCAAUGUUGGAAACAUUUUCUUUAGUAAGGUUGUUCACUUUUUCAUGCAAGUUUCUACUUGAAAACCUUUUUUUCUAAUGUAUGAAAGCCUCGGUGUUGCUCCCUCACCUAUCACUAUCUGCAAUGUUUCUUCUGUUUUAUAUCCAAGCUAUGUGUUUAAUAUUGUGUAUUCAACUCUUGAUAACUGAACACGAGGCUUUAAAUGCAGCUUGUAGAUAGAAAUUUUGAACGGCAAGGACAUGCAAGGUUUAAGUUUUGUGAUAUUGAUAGUAAUCCAAUGCAUUUACUUCUAGCAAAUCUGCACUACAUGGAAAACAUUCUAUGCUUUUGAUAUGAUACUAACAUUUUCCUGUCAAUAACAGAUUCAAGUUUUCAUGUUCGGUAACAGUACACCAGUUGGGCAAUUUGGAUCAUGUUAUGCUCAGUGAAUUUUGUCUAUGCGCAGGUUAAAGACUCUCAAAUUGAUUUUAAACUUCUACGUAAGUAUUUAUAGCUUUAUUUUCUUUACUGCAACUGGUUUUGAUCUGUUGUAGAACACACUGCAGAAAUUUGGCGUUAGAGCUCACCAAAAAUAUUUGUUCUCACCUACAACAAUAUGUUUCAGCCAAACUUCGAAUUAUUUCAUUAUUGGAUGUUUUCAUCUGCAUAAAUCGAAGCAAGGGGGAGAUGAAGGAGGUUAUUGGCUUCUUUUAACUUUCAAUAUGAUCUUUCGUAUAUUUGAUGGCAGAUCAGUGUAUAGGUAGAAGAAUGUACUGUUUCUUUCAGUCUAUGUUUGUCCUAUCGUUGUUUUGGGCAUAUGCUCCAAGAUUGCCAUUACUCCCUGUCAAACUUAUGGGCUCAGGACACAUUAUCCUAUGUUGUUGCCCCUCAGUCUUCUAAUUGUGUUUCUCUUCAUGUUUCAUUAGUCAAACUAUAAUUUGUGUACCAAGACUAUAACUAUUCUCCUCCAUAUGCUAUUCUAAUUUCUCUUUCCUCUUCAUUUGUUUUCUAUUAGAUUUGUAUAUUCUCCUAAGCCAUGUUUCUGCAGUUAUCUGCAUUUAAGCCCCACUACUGCAUUUCGUCUUUUAGUUAUACCAUACUGAUUCCCUUUUCAUUUGCAUAGUAUGUAUGUUCAAUUGGUGUUGUAAAAAUAUGCUAAAUGUUUACAAGCUUGGUCUCCUAGAAAAUGUGAUGCUACUAUCUGAGAAAGUUACUUACUUAUUCUCUAUUGCACCAUAUUUGUUACUGGUCGGGCAUACAUAUCAGUGUUUAGUCCAUAGAGUUGUUGGAUAUCUUUAUUGCCAGUAUGUUUUCCGGGCUUCCGGCAUACACAGAACAUUUUUCUGACAAGGUCAGAAAGAAACUAGCAAUAGAUGCCAUCGGGCUGAAUUAUGUAUCACACAUACGGCAACUAAGUUUGAUGCAUUUCAAAUGAUUAAAUAUGCAAAGUUGUUACGCGUAGUGUUUAUCGCCACAUUAUCCGUUAGAGUUUUUUAUCAGGGCUUGGGGGCUUCCGGCAUACGCAGAACAUUUUUCUGACAAGGUCAGAAAGAAAGUAGCAAUAGAUGCCAUCGGGCUGAAUUAUGUAUCACACAUACGGCAACUAAGUUUGAUGCAUUUCAAAUGAUUAAAUAUGCAAAGUUGUUACACGUAGUGUUUAUCUCCACAUUAUCCGUUAGAGUUUUUUAUCAGGGCUUGGUGUUUUUAUCUUCAAGCCAAUAAAUGUUAAAUGUGUCCAGUCUAAAGACUGAUUGUUUUACAUAACUAUGCUUCCGUCAAUGCAAAAUAAAAUGCUGACUUGAUGUAAUCUAUUGCCAUGCAACUGUUAUUGUUUUGUUAUUUUUUAGGAGAGGGAGACCUACCAGACUGCACAUGUACUUGAUAAUGAAAAUGUAUUGCAGCACCUACUUAGCAUUUAUUUUGUCUGUUCUUCAUGGAAUUUAGUUUCUGAAUCGUUUCAGGUUCAGUUACAAAGCGCUUGGUUUUGUCUCACCAAAAAAGGCAGCCAUGCAAGUUGUUUCGAGGUCCAGAGAAUGGCAGGACCACAUUAAUGCGCUUGGCUGAAGAUCAUGGCGAUGUGCGUAGCCAUAGGAGAUUAUGGCGAGGUGCUGGCAAGAGGUGGAGAUGAGCAUGAAGCUAUUGUUGCUCAAACCAUGGGAAAGGAGCAAAGAUCAACGCCAAAACAUGUAUGUUUUCUCACUGGAUUGUACUUGCCUCAAGAGGAUUCUCUUAUUCCAAUCUCAAACAUUGGUUUAUAUGCAUUGGUACAAUCUCAAAGAUGUAUGUUGUGAAUAAUUUAUCAUGUUCCAAUCUCCAUGCCCUCCUCCUCCCACGCCAAGUUUCUUCCCUUCCUGCAUCCUCUCCCAACCAUGGCGCUUUUGCCGUGGACCUGGUCGUUGCCGCCAUCGUCCUGGAGCAGGGGAGGAGUGUUGGCUACCAGAGGCCAUCCAAGGCGCCAUCGCCGCCAUCCUUCGGGUCCUCUCGCCGCUUCCUCUGCCUUCCUAGAUGAGUUGUUGCUUGGUCCUCUCUCCCUCAUGGAAGUGCUGAUGCUCCUUUUGUCUCUAAUUUAUCACAAGCCGCUCUCCUUUUUUAUGUGUAUGUGUGUGUUCUGAUGUAGAUAUAUUGUUGCAGACAAACUGUUCGAUGAUAUGCUUAUGAGACAUGGAAACGUUCAUCCUUAUGGAUCUAUGGUUACAUCAGCAAGGAAGAUAUGCAUAGAUUUUCCUAUAAAUUUCCUUUCUGAUGGAUAAUGAAAAAUGGCAAUCGGAAACGUUCCAUGCCGCGCACAGGACCAGUAACCUCCACACCUAUCAAUUGGUUUCCUCUAGCCCCUGAUGUUUUUUAUACUACAGAGCAUGAAUAUAUUUUAUCAUUGUUUUGUAGUACAUCAUAUUAUCAGCAAAAUAGUUUGUUUGAUGGCUUAUAUAUGCACUUCUUCUUUUCAGGUUCAGUUUAGAGCCAUUGAUCUAUCAUAAAGCAUGAUGAUAAGUGUAUUGCGGCAUGCAGGUUACUGUUGUUUGGACCAUGGCAUCACAGAUUGCGGACUCUGAUCUUGCUGCCAAUUGAUGGACAUGAGUUUAAGGUAAAAUCCUUCUUUGCAUUUGCUACCUUUUCUACCAGAAUAUGCAUAUUACAAGGAAGUAUCUGUAUUUUUGUCCUCUGAACUCACAUAGGGGGUACUCGUGGCUUAUUACAAACAUAACUGAUCUUAUGUAUUUGUGUAAGUACAUACAAAUGGUUGCUUUACAGUAUUGAAUUAUCUAUUGUAAUCUUAAUAAUCAUGUAUUAUUUCAUUUGCCUUGACUAGGGAAACUACCAUCUUCCAAGAUUCAAUGCGUGUUGGACGCCUAUAUAUAGUGCAGAUUUCUGCUUAAUUAAUUAUUCUCUUGCACAUUCUUGGUAAGCUUUAAGAUCCGAUUUCAUCAAAUAUUCAGCUGGGGGGCCAGUUUGCUCAUAAUCCGGGAACACAGAAGGUUAAGCUCUUCUAUUGAUAUUUCAGGCUAUGGUAUGUCUACUGUGAGAAUUUCUUUGCCGGUUGUUAUUUUGAAUCUCUAUGUAUUUUAUCUUGCAUGUUUUUGGUGCUGCCGUAGACUUCUCUUUCAAAUUUCAUUCGCAUAUAUGUGCUGGCAUUCUCAUAAGAUUCACACCUGUAUCAUGCAAGUUAUUGAGAUUCUAAAAAAAAUCAUCCUUGAGGUGAUGAUGAAGCCCAACCAUAAGUACGAGACGUACUCACAUGGUUGAGAGGUAAAAUAGUGGCCACCAUCACAUGGCUGCGUCGAGGACUAUCCAGGAAAAGCGACGGACUGAUGCAAGACUGCAAGAUACAUGAUAUGUUGUGUUAUGUUGCUCUCUUCGUUAGCUGAUAAUUUUUCUCUAGCUCCUCUUCGUCAACUGAUAAUUCUUCCCUGUUAAAAAAAUGCAUAAUUAUUCACUCUUUAUUUAGUUCUUGCUUAUUAUCGAUGUUCACAAAUGUAUAUAAAUGAACAUUGGCAUAAGUUUUACGGGGUCGUGCGCCAAGGCGCACAUCAAAAUCUAGUUUCAAAAAUAGGCUACUAGUUGCAGGUUUCUAAGAAAAGUUCAACUCAUAACAUGAAAAACCAUUUUUUUUAAUAAGUAAAGGGCCUAGAAGGCCCCACAGGAUUUCAUUCAACACACACGUGGCGGGUACAAAUUACAUAGAGGCCCUUUGGCAUCCCUCGCACUGAGAAACUAGAAAUUUGAAGAAAGGCCCUCUAAAGUUACAAAGAGCACCCUGGAACAAAAAGUAGAAACGCAAUUAGGUCCCUGGACUCCGCCGCCACCAGUCGUCGGCAUCCUCAAGGCGUCGCCGCCGAGGAACUGGGCGCAAAUGCUUGAACGCCCGAAUCCGAUGAAGCUUCGUCGCCGCUGGACACUAAGGAACCACCGGGGACAAACCACUUGGUGGAAGCUUGGCGGCGAGCUCCAGCCGCUUGGAGGAGAGGCCUCCACACCGGAGGUUGAGUUGAUGCCACCAUGCCGGCAGAAGAGCGCGGGGGCAAGAAAGUCAUCCUCGUGAUUGAGCUCGAAGAAACACAUGUAGCACCUCACAUGUAGCUGCCGUCGAUCCUGACCUUGGAUAGUAGCAGGUCCGCCACCGCUUUCCUCCUCGCCACCACGACAGGCCGGGAGAGCGUGCAGCAGAGACCUCCACCACCUUGAACAGCUCCGGCGAUAGGGACUGAAGGAGAUAUGCCCUAGAGGCAAUAAUAAAGUGGUUAUUAUUUAUAUCUUUAUGUUUAUGAUAAAUGUUUA